rnacentral:rRNA from 1 species
GGGCCCGCACAAGCGGUGGAGCAUGUGGUUUAAUUCGAUGCAACGCGAAGAACCUUACCAGGGUUUGACAUAGUACGAAGUUUUUGAAAAAAACCACCUUCGGGAACGUACAUACAGGUGGUGCAUGGCUGUCGUCAGCUCGUGUCGUGAGAUGUUGGGUUAAGUCCCGCAACGAGCGUAACCCUUGUUUUUAGUUGCCUUUCGAGGAUAUUUAGAAAGACUGCCGGUGCAAACCGUGAGGAAGGUGGGGAUGACGUCAAAUCAUCACGGCCCUUACGUCCUGGGCUACACACGUGCUACAAUGGCCGGUACAGAGAGCAGCCACUACGCGAGUAGGCGCG